rnacentral:rRNA from 1 species
UACGUAGGGCGCGAGCGUUGUCCGGAAUCAUUGGGCGUAAAGAGCUCGUAGGCGGUUUGUCGCGUCUGCCGUGAAAGUCCGGGGCUCAACUCCGGAAUCUGCGGUGGGUACGGGCAGACUAGAGUGAUGUAGGGGAGACUGGAAUUCCUGGUGUAGGCGGUGAAAUGCGUAGAGAUCCGGAGGAACACCAGAGGCGAAGGCGGCAACCUGGCUCGUAACGUGACGCUCUACACGACAGCAUGGGGACGCGAACGGG